rnacentral:rRNA from 1 species
CAGCAGCCACGGUAAUACGUAGGUGGCAAGCGCUGUCCGGAAUUAUUGGGCGUAAAGGGCUCGCAGGCGGUUUCUUAAGUCUGAUGUGAAAGCCCCCGGCUCAACCGGGGAGGGUCAUUGGAAACUGGGAAACUUGAGUGCAGAAGAGGAGAGUGGAAUUCCACGUGUAGCGGUGAAAUGCGUAGAGAUGUGGAGGAACACCAGUGGCGAAGGCGACUCUCUGGUCUGUAACUGACGCUGAGGAGCGAAAGCGUGGGGAGCGAACAGGAUUAGAUACCCCUGUAGUCCCUGUCUCUUAUAC